UGAGUACUUAAAUCGGGCGCGGGGCUUGUUUUCACAGAGGCCCGGGACCGUUGGUGAGCAGUGGAGGAGGGUCAGGGCGGUGAGUACUUAAAUCGGGCGCGGGGCUUGUUUUCACAGAGGCCCAGGACCGUUGGAGAGCAGUGGAGGAGGGUCAGGGCUUACCGAAAUCCGUAACGCUCCACACUCCAUAGGGAGGGUUCUGGUGGAAGCUGCUGAUUGGUGGAAGCAGACUAGAGGAAGCAGCUGAUUGGGUGCAACCUCAGGUUAGCAUUUGUGCUUUCUGGUUAAAGGUACAGUGAGCCAAGAGUACAGUGGGCUAAGGGUACAGUGCUUUAGUAAAGGUGCAGUGGGCUAAAGGUACAGUGCUUUAGUAAAGGUACAGUGGGCUAAAGGUACAGUGCUUUAGUAAAGGUACAGUGGGCUAAAGGUACAGUGCUUUAGUAAAGGUACAGUGGGCUAAAGGUACAGUGCUUUUUGUUUAUAUAAUAAAGGGCAGUUUAAAGGUCACGAGGGAGCAGCUGUUGUGAGUCAGAUACCUGCUGAUUUCUCCCAGCAGUUUCUAAUGUAUUAUACUGGUAUCAGAUCCAGGGUAAGGCGGGAGAAUGACAGUCAGAGCAGUGUACUGUUCUGGAUGUCAGAUGUGGGAGGUCAUGGUGUCGAAUGGCCCUCCAGACGUCCACAUCUGCACCAGGUGCAGCAAGAUGGGGCUCCUAAGGGACCGUAUUAGGAUUCUGGAGCAGCAGCUCGAUGACCUCUGUCUGAUCAGGGAGAGUGAGGAGGUCAUAGAGGGGAGUUAUAGAGAGGUGGUCACUCCAAAGCCACGGGAGAGAGACAUGUGGGUCACAUUAAGGAAGGGCAAGGGGCAGAGGCAGGAACGAGUGAGUACUCCAAUGUCGGUACACCUCGCAAAUAAGUACUUCUGUUUGAGUACGGAUGGGGGUGACAGCCUACCCGGGGGUAGUGACAGCGGACGGGCCUCCAGCACAGAGACCGGCCCUGUUGCUCCAAAAGGUAGGGAAAAAAAAGAGGGCAAUAGUAAUUGGAGACUCUAUUGUUAGGGGGUUGGAUAGGCGAUUCUGUGGACGCAGUCGGGAGACCAGGAUGGUGGUCUGCCUCCCUGGUGCCAAGGUCUCGGACGCGUCUCAACGCAUCCAAGAUAUCCUUAAAUCAGAGGGAGAGGAGCCUGAGGUCGUGGUACAUAUAGGUACCAAUGACAUAGGUAAAAAAAGGGAAGAGGUCCUGAAGGGAGGAUUUAGGGAGUUGGGAGGAGAGUUAAGAAAAAGGACCAAAAAGGUAACAAUCUCAGGAUUACUGCCUGUGCCACGCGACAGUGAGAGUAGGAAUGGAGCGAGGUGGAGGAUAAAUGCGUGGCUGAAAGACUGGUGCAGAGGGCAGGGAUUCAAGUUCCUGGAUCAUUGGGACUUCUUUUGGGGAAGGUGGGACCUGUACAGAAAGGAUGGGUUGCACUUGAACCCGAGGGGGACCAAUAUCCUAGCGGGGAAAUUUGCAAAGGCAGCUGGGGAGACUUUAAACUAGAAUGGUUGGGGCGAGGGACUCAAAUAGCGAAAGGUAGUAGACAGAAUGGGAGGCAGGAAGCAGAAAUGGGAAGCACUCGGACACAAGAGGAGAAAGAAAAAAAAGGAAAUAAACAGAGAAUAAGAGACAGGGGUUUUCUUAAAUGUGCAUAUUUUAAUGCUAGGAGCAUUGUAAGAAAGGUGGAUGAGCUUAGAGUCUGGAUAGACACCUGGAAGUAUAAUGUUGUGGCGAUCAGUGAAACAUGGUUGCAGGAGGGCUGUGAUUGGAAACUAAAUAUUCCAGGAUUUCGCUGCUUCAGGUGUGAUAGAAUUGGAGGGGCAAGAGGUGGAGGUGUUGCAUUGCUAGUCAGGGAAGAUAUUACAGCAGUGCUUUGGCAGGAUAGAUUGGAGGGCUCAUCUAGGGAGGCUAUUUGGGUGGAAUUGAGAAGUGGGAAAGGUGUAGCAACUCUUAUAGGGGUGUAUUAUAGACCGCCAAACGGGGAACGAGAAUUGGAAGAGCAAAUAUGUAAGGAGAUAGCAGAUAUUAGUAGAAAGCACAAGGUAGUGAUUGUGGGAGAUUUCAACUUUCCACACAGACUGGGAAACACAUUCUGUAAAUGGGCUGGAUGGGUUGGAGUUUGUAAAAUGAGUGCAGGAUAGUUUUUUGCAGCAAUACAUAGAGGUACCUACUAGAGGAGGGGCAGGGCUGGACCUCCUGUUAGGAAAUGAGACGGGACAGGUGGCGGAGGUAUGCGUUGGGGAGCACUUCGGGUCCAGUGAUCACAAUACCAUUAGUUUCAAUAUAAUUAUGGAGAGGGUCAGAACUGGACCUAGGGUUGAGAUUUUUGAUUGGCGAAAGGCUAACUUUGAUGCGAUGCAAGAUGAUUUAAAAGGAGUGAACUGGGAAAUUUUGUUUUAUGGGAAAGAUGUAGAAGAGAAAUGGAGGACAUUUAAAGGGGAAAUUUUAAGAGUACAGAAUCUUUAUGUUCCUGUUCGGUUGAAAGGAAACAGUAAAAAUUGGAAAGAGCCCUGGUUUUCAAGGGAAAUUGGACAUCUUGUUCGGAAAAAGAGGGAGAUCUACAAUAAUUAUAGGCAGCAUGAAGUAAAUGAGGUUCCAUUAAGGUAUCAACUCAACUCUCCUGAGAAUUAAACGUGAUCAUUAUAAAUUCAGGUACCAGUUGAAUGACACUUUUUGAAAUUAAUCCAAAAGCUUUCUGCAAAACAGACCACAUUCUCUUUAUUUAUCAGAAUAUUAAGUAAAACAGACAAAAUGAAAGAACAUGAUAAUGUAAGCAUCAGAUUUUGUAUUCCUUGGUGCAAUUUGGUGCGAUUAAACUCUUGUUUUUCAUGUUUUAUAAUAAACAAUUGAACAUUUGGCUUUCAUAGUAAGAUCACAUAGUUUAAAUGGUUCAAUAUAUUCCAAAUCCUCAAAGAUCUAGUGGCACUUUUAUGCAAUGCUUUUAAGAAAACAUUGAAUGCUUUUCAGAAAUCAACUACAAGUU